GCCCUCGGUGGCUCAGAUGGAUAGAGCGUCUGCCUUGUAAGCAGGAGAACCAGGGUUUGAGUCCCAGUCGAGGCA